UGGGGAAUAUUGCACAAUGGGCGCAAGCCUGAUGCAGCCAUGCCGCGUGUGUGAAGAAGGCCUUCGGGUUGUAAAGCACUUUCAGCGGGGAGGAAGGCGGUGAGGUUAAUAACCUCAUCGAUUGACGUUACCCGCAGAAGAAGCACCGGCUAACUCCGUGCCAGCAGCCGCGGUAAUACGGAGGGUGCAAGCGUUAAUCGGAAUUACUGGGCGUAAAGCGCACGCAGGCGGUCUGUCAAGUCGGAUGUGAAAUCCCCGGGCUCAACCUGGGAACUGCAUUCGAAACUGGCAGGCUAGAGUCUUGUAGAGGGGGGUAGAAUUGCAGGUGUAGCGGUGAAAUGCGUAGAGAUCUGGAGGAAUACCGGUGGCGAAGGCGGCCCCCUGGACAAAGACUGACGCUCAGGUGCGAAAGCGUGGGGAGCAAACAGG
rnacentral:rRNA from 1 species